UUGUUUAAUGGCAUUGUUUAUACAGGUGUCCUUCUCGAAGUUAAAAGGGGAAUGCUGAUUGUUCACCAAAUCCUUGUACACUGGUGCCAAGAUUUUCAACGCACGUUCCUUUUUCUCUAGAAGAAUCAAAACUUGGGAGUCGCACUGAAAUUUGUGCCGCAGAAGAUCGUAUCUUAACAGGUACCCUUUUGGGAUAUUUUUUACACCUCUAAGGACAACACGUAGCAAAUGAAAAAAGUGUUUGAAUGGAUUGUUUAUUAAAUUGAAAAUGACAGUACUCACAAGAAACAUAAAAGUAAAACGAGUUGAGAAAAACGAGUCCCUGGAGCACGAAUUUGCUUAACACCGAAUAUAAUUUUCCUGUACUUCAUUCCUGUACUUAUCAAAUUUUACCAAAUUUUAUCAGAAUCUAAAUUUUAUUAUUAUUUUUUCCCCCGCCCAUACAAGAACCUCUGUCUUAGGACAGAAAAUGAAAGUUCGAGAGUUUGAUCAAACCACAACUCUUAAUUUUCUUGUUCAUUCAUAUUAUGCCUUAGUAAAUAAUACACCCACACACACACAUAUAUAUAUAUAUAUAUAUAUAUAUAUACAUAUAUACAUGUGUGAGAGUAUACACAUACCCACAAAACACCUCAUAAGGUACUGGAGCCAACUCGCCUUUAGUCCGUCAGUUGGCCCACUUGUUCACGGAAAUAGCAUCCCUUUUCCUUGCAACUGGUGACCGUUCGUUCCCAUGAGUUCCCAUGAGUUCCCGAAGUGCGGAUGUCGGGGGAACUCGUCCAAGUAAGCCCCGCAAAAAGGAAUGGCUCCGAGCUGGAUUGUCUGCGUCAGCUCAAGGCAAAUGAAUGGCUCCGAACUUGGCUGGGCUUGUCCGAGUCAGCCCUCUCUCCCUGAGACCACCACUUCAACUCGGAGCCCACCAGCCCUACUUUGGUGGG
rnacentral:lncRNA from 1 species